rnacentral:lncRNA from 1 species
AGUUACUCGCCCUUGUUUCAGUGGCUGGGUGUCUGCUGCGCACCAUGGCGGUAAGGGACAAGGCGUGGUCUGCACCGGCAAAGCUUUCCCGAUGUUGGGAAAGUAAAAACAGAAGGGCUCGAAGGCAUAAGGCACUGGGCCAGAGAGGGGCGCCACCCAAUGGACUGUGCUAGACCGAACGGGAUGCGGGGAGAGUGGCCGUGCAGGACUACACCAGGACUAGUGUUGGAGGCUAGGGCGGGCGCGGGCGAGGGUAGUUGCCAGUUCCAGAUCUAAACCACUACCCCAGAGGGACGCCAUUAAGUUCCGCUGGAGUUUUCCCGGAGAGGAUCUCAACCCAAAGCUGAACCUUACGAGGAAAGCCAAAGAAGAUACUAACGUAAUUUGAAUUGUUUUGGGGUGAGCAUUAGGCGAUCAUAACUGGGGGUACAGUAAAGUCGGUGUCCUAACUAUAUUAGGAAGAUGGACUAGAGGAGUGGUCGGUAUCUCAGGGAUUGCUAGGGUUGACAAAGCACGCUAAGGACUUGGCUGCGGGGUAGAUAAAGCUGCAGGUAACCAGGCUGGUACAGGGAGUGAGGAGGACUGAGGCAAAACAGCUCUGACAGCAUCUCACCAACCCUCCGCAGCCCAAAGGAAAAGUGGGUACCAGAGGGAAGAAACAGAUAUUUGAAGAGAACAAAGAAACUCUCAAGUUUUACCUUCGGAUCAUACUGGGAGCCAACGUAAGUUGCUUGCCUUGUGCUUUCUCUGCCCUCUCAUUCCUAUCUGAUUAGGAGCGCUGGCAAAUGACAGCCAAGGCUCCAAAAGAGAACGUUGUAAAGAAAUGAAGCCAGGCAGACACCAGCCUGUAAUCCCUGCACCAGGGAGGCUCAGGCAGAAAGAUGGGCGGUUUGAAGUUAGCUUUGAGUAACAAAGAAAUCCUAUCUC